ensembl:lncRNA
CAAGAUGUGAGGAGUUUUCCCCUGCUAUGCCCCUCUGCCAUGCUAUUCUUGCCCUGGAACCAGUUGAUCAUGAACUGUAACUGUGAGCCAAAAUAAACCUGUCAUGUAUGUUGAAGAUGUUGGAUAUUGUGUCUCAGCAAUGAGGAAAGUACCAAGACAAGCCUCAAAGAUGAGAAAUUCAGGACUGUAGCCGUUGGUUUAUCAGGAACGCUGAGCGUAGUAAACUCUUGAGGAAAGGAACUCAAGUGGAUGAAUUAUAUUGCUCCUCAUGGAAAAGAUGAAAAACUUCUUCCUGGCUAUCCUGGCUACUGGUUAUCUCUCAUAUGUUUUGGGUAAGCAAGUAUUUAAGAGCAUUGAAUCAUACUCUUACAAUUCAACAUGGAGGAAUGUGCAGCAAACCCCCCAAAUCUUGAAUAUUUCUUCAUUUAUCACGAGUGAGACCAUUUGAACUAAGCAUCGUCUUUCCUUCAUAAAGCAGAAUUUAUUGUAUUGUCUUAUUUUUUCUAAUCAAUAAAUAUUACCC